UCAUAGGUCCUCCCCGUCCUCACAGCCGGCG
rnacentral:sRNA from 1 species